rnacentral:rRNA from 1 species
UACGGGGGGAGCAAGCGUUGUUCGGAUUUACUGGGCGUAAAGGGCGCGUAGGCGGCGCAACAAGUCAAUUGUGAAAUCUCCGGGCUUAACUCGGAAAGGUCAACUGAUACUGCGGGGCUAGAGUGCGGAAGGGGCAACUGGAAUUCUCGGUGUAGCGGUGAAAUGCGUAGAUAUCGAGAGGAACACCUGCGGCGAAGGCGGGUUGCUGGGCCGACACUGACGCUGAGGCGCGAAAGCCAGGGGAGCGAACGGG